rnacentral:rRNA from 1 species
UAGGGAAUCUUGCGCAAUGGGCGAAAGCCUGACGCAGCAACGCCGCGUGCGGGAAGAAGGCCUUCGGGUUGUAAACCGCUUUUGGCAGGAACGAAAAUGACGGUACCUGCAGAAUAAGGUGCGGCCAACUACGUGCCAGCAGCCGCGGUGACACGUAGGCACCAAGCGUUGUCCGGAUUUAUUGGGCGUAAAGAGCUCGUAGGCGGUUCAGUAAGUCGGGUGUGAAAACUCUGGGCUUAACCCGGAGACGCCACCCGAUACUGCUGAACUUGAGUUCGGUAGGGGAGCGGGGAAUUCCUGGUGUAGCGGUGAAAUGCGCAGAUAUCAGGAGGAACACCGGUGGCGAAGGCGCCGCUCUGGGCCGAAACUGACGCUGAGGAGCGAAAGCGUGGGUAGCAAACAGG